UCUAUUAGAACAUAACAAUAAUUUAUAUAUCUAAAGGUAUUUAUCAUUGCUGCAGACAUUUUCCUUCCAUACUUCUGUAGGCAGCUUCUAGUUGUCAUUAUGACAUCACGAUGAUGUAACGAUACUGAGCCGGGUAUAUACAGGCUGACCGGCCGGCUGAGUCCUUUGAGGGUUGUAGAAGAGGAGAGAGGAGGAGAGAGAAUGGCGCUGACUAUUGCAGAGUUUGAGCUGUUUGGCUUAUUGUUUCUGGGAUGUUUGGGGAGUUACAUCUGGCAUAAAUAUACUGAGUGGAGAGAGAAGAGGGAGAGAGAGCCUGACCCGGAGAAUCCAGCGGAAGAUCCAGUGAAAAAUUCUUUUGAGGAUCCAUAUUACGAGAUCAAGGAGGAAGAAAUCAUUGAUUGGGUCUAUUCAGUGGCGGGCUGAGGAGGAAACACCAGGAGAAGAUUCCAUCUUUCUUACAGUUUAUGCCAUGUAAACUAUUACAUAAAAUCA